rnacentral:rRNA from 1 species
GGACUACAAGGGUUUCUAAUCCCAUUCGCUACCUACGCUUUCGUGUUUCAGUGUCAGGAGUGCGCCAGUGAACUGCCUUCGCAUUUGGUAUUCCCCAUGAUAUCAACGGAUUUCACCCCUACUCCAUGAGUUCUGUUCACCUCUCGCAUCCUCUAGUUGUGCCGUUUCUUUUGCAUGCCCCCGGUUAAGCCGAAGAAUUUAACAAAAGACUAACACUACCACCUACACACCCUUUACGCCCAAUAAUUCCGGAUAACGCUUGGGGCACUCGUAUUACCGCGGCUGCUGGCAC